AAGAGGUCCUUCCUCACUUAAUUUUGAUAAUCUUCCUAUUCUGCAAGGUUCCAACCACCUAAUAUGUGGUCCUACUCCAUUUGCUUUGAGAACACUUGGCUGACUCAUGUUGAUCUCAGAGAUAGUAAUGGAAGUGGUUAAAUGAUCUAUACCCAUGGGGUGAGAGGGAUUUAAGUUUAAAUUAAAUUGCGGCAACAGAGGUUUUUUUUUGGGACUUUAGAACUAGGAAAAAUAAUACACUGGAGGAGAUUCUCAUUGAUUGUUGGGGCAAUACUACCCUAAUAUUUGUUGGGUCCGGUUUGUUACUCUAACUUGAGUCUGCUACUGGAAGGCUCUAGGAGAAUAUAAUAUUAUACUUUUCUUCUUGGCCUUAAUAAAAUAUUUGUCUCUAGAAUCACUAGUUAUGGCUUGCUCACAAGUUAUGGCUUGCUCUCAUGUAGAACAUGUAUUGGAGAUUUUUGGUUUUAUCGGAGGAGAGAUGGAGCGUGGUGAAACUUAUUUUUAUUCAGGAGAGAUUUGAGGCAGGAGGCUGGUGGAGGGUGAUGAAGUUGGUUUUCGAGCUGUUGGACCACCCUAUGGAGAAUCCAGACAAAAAACCUCAGGCAGAGGUGACGAGUGGGGCGGAGGCAAUGAUUAAGGAAAAAUAAUUCACUUCGAGCAAGGACUCCCUUAGAUGCCCAACAGCCUGACGGAGCUCAAAUUUUCUGUCAAAAUCAAAGGAGUUGAAAACCUACUUGGUGGCGGUGAAAUCUGAAAGCACAGGGGGGGGGGAGUUGGGUAGUGCAGAUGCUAUCUGAGAGGCUUUCGGAUCGGGCUGUUUCUGAAUUUGAAAAAGGAGAAAAAAAUUAUAUCCCGGCCUUACACUAAAACGGAAAAAAUGGGGAGCCGUUUUGGGUUAAAUAGCAGUGUUGGGCUUAUUGGGGGUGGGCCAAGAAGAUUGGAAGCAAACAGGCUCAACAAAGGAAGAAAGUUAA
rnacentral:lncRNA from 1 species